rnacentral:tRNA from 1 species
GCCUGGAUGGCUCAGUCAGUUAAGCGUCUGACUUCAUCUCAGGUCAUGGUCUCACGGUUCGUAGGUUCAAGCCCUGCAUCGGGCU